rnacentral:tRNA from 1 species
CAGGGAGACAACAAAAUGUUUAAUAUUAUUAUUUUGUCACCUUAGGUCGAUCGGUAUCUCACGUUCUUAAUUUGUUAAGAAUUUCAUUUCCUAAGUUUUUCUAGGUCACACCCAUUAUUUUUCCUGGGCCAUUAGCUCAGGUGGUUAGAGCGCACCCCUGAUAAGGGUGAGGUCCCUGGUUCAAGUCCAGGAUGGCCCAUAUCUCUAUGUUGGGGGUAUAGCUCAGUUGGUAGAGCGCCUGCUUUGCAAGCAGGAUGUCAGCGGUUCGAGUCCGCUUACCUCCACUGAUUACCACCUCUUCCAUAACCGGUAGAAAGGAAAUUUUUUGAGUUGUGAUCAUUAUUCUGAACGAAUCUAGCUUCCUAAUGAAUUCAUUAAGAUGCUGGACUCAUUGAAUUAAUUUCAUUGUUUUCAGAGAACCUUGACAACUGCAUAGAUUAUUUUUAAAGACAAUAAGCAUCUUUAAUGAUGCAGAUUUAUUAUUUGUGCGAAUGCAUUAAUAACAAUUCUAUUAAGCUGAUGCUUCAAUUUUUGAAGUUAUU